rnacentral:lncRNA from 1 species
CAAGGAUUUCAAUCUUCCAAACAAGAAAAUUAGAAAGCAAGUUUCGUUCCCACAGUGACAGAGGAAGGGCAGAGGCUAUUAGGACAACUCAUCUCCUACAAUAUUAAAAACACCCUGGCAGGCUUUGCCAGGUCACAAGAAGGACCCGCCGGAGCUGGGAGUGGGAAGAGCAGCUGUGGUGGUGGCUCGCAGACAGCCUUAAAAAGGAUAUUCUGUCAUGUGUGGCAAGAUGGAUAAACCUGGAGGACAUUACGCUCCAGUGAAACGGGUACUGCAUUUUGAUAAAUUGAAGGUUUGUGGAACGCUGCAUUGAGCAAGUCUAUUGGUACCAUUUUCCAACAGCAUGUGCUCACUUCAUGUCUCUGUGCCACAUUUGGAAUGAAGAGAAUCUGAACUAAGAUGGGGUGAAAGUAGGAAAUCAUUCCCCCAUGUCAAGUGCAAGGGCUAUCCAGUUAGAGGCCAACACAGAUGUCUGAUCAAAGGUAAAAGUCUUUGUGUGCUUGCAACAAGGGAAGUUGUCUAAUAGGGUCUGAAGACAGAAAGUCCUGUGGUUGUGUCCUGCCCUUCUCCUGCCACACUGGGCCUGCCUUCAGCAGCAAUGUCCCUUGGUGGUUGUCCGCCCUCUGCCACCUGCCUUCAUUUACUCUUGCAGUGGGGUUUAUUUACUCUCACUAUCAUUUGGAUAUACAAAGAAAUUUUAAUUCCCUUAUUUUUCAGACAUCAACCUGACCUUCCUUAUCAGCACUUGGUAAUGAUGGUGCUGACAGGUAACACAGUACAAUCCAGUUAAACCCUUCAUCUGAUUCAAUCGUUUAACUUUUUUUUGAGGUUUAAUUUAGGAUUUUAUUAUAUUUUACCAGUCUUUUAGAUUCCACUCUGCUGCUUUCCAGUAUGGUGCAGAGGGAAUAUAGUUCCUGAGGAGAGGUGCCCAUGACUGCCAGGUUUUGGAGGAAGGGGUGGCCUAGCCUCAUAUUGGUUCUUGGGGCAUUCUGGCUGGCAUCUGCUGAGGGAUGUUUGGUGUGCCCCUAUCCCUGGUCAUUCUAUGGUAUCCACCCAUGACAACUGUGGCCGCUAAUCUCAUGGUCUAUUGUUUCUCAGACUUGGUCAGGGCCUGGCCAGCUUGCCCCAAACAUUUGCAAGGCUGGGGGCAAGGCUGCUAUGAUAUAUGAAUACCUAAAAGUUAGCAAUCAAGCUGACACACUUUUAAAUAUGUUCCAUUCCUUUACCUUGACAAAUAUAUCUUUAUAAUGAC